rnacentral:rRNA from 1 species
CAGUAGCCGCGGGAAUACGAAGGGGGCUAGCGUUGCUCGGAAUGACUGGGCGUAAAGGGCGCGUAGGCGGUCACGAUAGUCAGAUGUGAAAUUCCUGGGCUUAACCUGGGGACUGCAUUUGAUACUGUGUGGCUUGAGUGUGGAAGAGGGUCGUGGAAUUCCCAGUGUAGAGGUGAAAUUCGCAGAUAUUGGGAAGAACACCGGUGGCGAAGGCGGCCCCCUGGACAAAGACUGACGCUCAGGUGCGAAAGCGUGGGGAGCAAACAGGAUUAGAUACCCCGGUAGUCCCUGUCUCUUAUAC